GCAUGAUAAUGCGUGCAGGCCUGCAUAGCGGGGUGUUGCAUGUAGGUAUGUGCACUUAACUGUGCGUGUGUUACCAUUUUAAACGAAGAUGAGUUUUCACCCCCCUACUUUAGUUUUGGUGACAAUCAGUUUGAGUAGUCUUUGCAAUAUAAUGUAAAAUAUUUAAUAUUAUAUGUUUGUAUGACUACAGUAUAUACAGUCGUCUCCAUAAUGCUUGGGACCAUUUUUACAUCUAUUUCACUAAAUUAUGUCAGUAAAGGUUUGAGGCAACAUGGAAACUUGCAGUUUCAAUAACGAUAAUUGUUAUGCAUAAUGAUAAUAUUGAACAUUAUUACACAUAAUAUGUUUAACCGCAUGUUGACUCUCAGCUGCAAAAAGAGAUGUGAAAAUAGUUUUUUUUCCCCCUGUUUCCCAGCUUGCUUCAGUAGGAAGGCUGUGAUUUUGGUUGGUUUACUGUUUGAUUUUUUUUUUUUAAACACAAUAAACUGUAGGAAUACAAUGCCCAUAAGAUCCUGCAGGAAAAAAAAAUUGUGAUUGAGUGAGGUUUGUCCUAUGACAUAUGCCUGCAUUUAUGUUUAGUACUGUGAAAUCCAUUAAAUAUUCAAAAAGUGUUUUCAGUACUGAUGUCCUUCGUUGACAAUAUCCCGCAUUUACAAAGGACUUACUCUGUCAUUGAAGUGGGCCUGAGUUCCACUGCACCAAGUGCCCAAAUGCUACCUGUUGUCACCAGUGAGAGCCACGCUAAUCCUCUAGUUGGAGGUAGUGCAUGGAGUACACCUGUAGUGUGUGGCAAAAUCUCUGGCUUGUGCGUUUGAGGAGAGCAAAAGCUUCAACUGCAGUUGUUCUUGCUAGGGGUUCAGGUGACCGCACAAGGUCGGGGGACACAACUGGAAAUUACAGAUUGAAACUAGGAGUAACAUUGGUCUGUGUGGGAGGGCUUCUGAUAAUUGGUAUGCCUGGAGAGCAUGAGCUUACCGUAGCAAUGUGUUAUCCCAUACUCGCAUUGUUGUCUAAGGGAAGGGUUGGUUUUGUUUUGAUGAAUGGUACUCAAGGUACUGAUGCUAUGCAACCUAUAUCCAUCACGCAAAUCAUUUCUGCGAACUAAUCCAUCUUAUCUCAGCAAAAUGAUGAGCGUGCGCGUCCUCUUGAGUUCUAGCAUAGUCUGCUGUUAACGUAUGGAACUGUUGUGUGGAUCCUGGGUCUCCGCAGAAGAACUUCACCACAUCCUUGAAACUUUGAACAGGGCAGGUUUAUUUCCCCUCACGGACAUACGGCCUGAUUUAUUGACACCUUUAGCAAAACCAACAACGCAACCAGUGAUUGGUCAUGGCAUUUGUUUUGCGCCAAUCAAUGGUUGUGUUAUUCAUUUUGCGAGUGCUAAAAUGUUUUGCACUUGCUGAAGGUUUCAGUAAGUCAGGCCCAUACUGGCUGGCUGAGAGCUGGAUUGAUGGAGUGAGUUGAACACUCGGCAGAGGGGUGUGAUAUUGCUGAUCAGGCACGGGGGAGCGGUCAAUUACACAAACUUUGGAAAAGAAAUACACUCGUCUGCGUAUUUGCUGAAGGGACCUUUCUUGUCAACAGGCACGAAAAAAAACAACUGCAGUGCUCAUCUUGUUUCCUUAUGUAAUUAUUCUUGCACUUAAAAUUAAAAAGACAAAGCAAUAAUGAACUGUGUCCUUUUCUUAUAGCACACACUCCAAACGCAUCAUGCAUACACAUGCUUUCGGCAUAUUAUGCACACACACACACACACACAAAUUAAAUAGCACACACACAUGCACAUGCACUCACUGAACACACUCUAAACUGUAGGCAAAUAAUGUAUGAUGUAGUUAGUAAGUUGAAAAAGUCAUUCUAAUUUUGAGCUGAAAGGUUAGUGUGUGCUAAAUGGCAUUCUCUGGCAGCACGUGACCAAUCCAGUCUCUCGUCAUGUAAAGAGCUCUGGUCACAGUGAACGCGAGUCGCCCCGAAAACAAUGAUGUGUUCAUUCAUGCAGUCAGUUGUUGUUACAUUACAUUCUAUUAUUUUAAUCUUCAGAAAAUUAACUGCUGUGUCAAUGUUUCCUUUUCUCUGCAUGGUUAAAAAAAUGCGCUGUAAGGUAACCCUGAAACAAAAAGAGCUGUACCUCUGAUUACAGAAUCAUGGUGACGCACAUGUAUGUUUUUGUUUGGUUUUGUUUUAAAUAGGUUUAUUAAUUUAUCUCCAGGUUUUGUUUACUGUAAAUGCAUUGCUUCAUUGUCAUUUUCACCAGUUGUAGUUUAACGCAAUGUUUUAGCACACUUAUGAGGAUUGUUUUGUUUUUAAAUAAAUUAAUGUUGGAGAGACAACAA